GGCCCGCACAAGCAGCGGAGCGUGUGGUUUAAUUCGAUGUUACACGAAGAACCUUACCAGGGUUUGACAUGCAAGUGGUAGGAAGCCGAAAGGUGACCGACCCUUCGGGGAGCUUGCACAGGUGCUGCAUGGCUGUCGUCAGCUCGUGUCGUGAGAUGUUCGGUUAAGUCUGCUAACGAGCGCAACCCUCGCUGUGUGUUAUAUGUGUCACACGGGACUGCCGGUCUUAAGCCGGAGGAAGGUGGGAUGAUGUCAAGUCAGCAUGGCCUUUAUGACCUGGGCUACACACGUGCUACAAUGGUUGGUACAACGAGUUGCGAGUCGGUGACGGCGAGCUAAUCUCUUAAAGCCAAUCUCAGUUCGGAUUGUAGGCUGCAACUCGCCUACAUGAAGUCGGAAUCGCUAGUAAUCGCGGAUCAGCACGCCGCGGUGAAUACGUUCCCGGGCCUU
rnacentral:rRNA from 1 species